GUGGGGAAUCUUCCACAAUGGACGAAAGUCUGAUGGAGCAACGCCGCGUGAGUGAAGAAGGGUUUCGGCUCGUAAAGCUCUGUUGUCGGGGACGAAUGUGCAGUAUUUGAAUAAAGUACUGCAAUGACGGUACCUGACGAGGAAGCCACGGCUAACUACGUGCCAGCAGCCGCGGUAAUACGUAGGUGGCAAGCGUUGUCCGGAAUUAUUGGGCGUAAAGGGAGCGCAGGCGGGAAGGUAAGUCGGUCUUAAAAGUGCGGGGCUCAACCCCGUGAUGGGAUCGAAACUAUCUUUCUUGAGUGCAGGAGAGGAAAGGGGAAUUCCUAGUGUAGCGGUGAAAGGCGUAGAUAUUAGGAGGAACACCAGUGGCGAAGGCGACUUUCUGGACUGUAACUGACGCUGAGGCUCGAAAGCCAGGGGAGCGAACGGGAUUAGAUACCCUGGUAGUCC
rnacentral:rRNA from 1 species